rnacentral:lncRNA from 1 species
AAAAGGUGGAUUUUAAUGUGACCGUUACCUGGAAUAAAGAUGACAACAUUUUACAGAGUUACAGUUGGGAAGCUGCCAGGAAGAAGUGGCCUGAUAGCAACAACUUGUGAUAAAUUUCCAAAGAGUGGCAGUUUCAAAGGUGCAACUUGGAUGUGCUCAUUGUUAGAUUAUGCGAUUAAUUGUGGGAUUAUGUGUGACUCCUCAGCCUGACUGGGCAGGCCAGUGUGCUGCUGGAGUGGUGGAGAGCCCCAAGAACUCUGUGAGAGACCCUGCUCCAUCUCUCCAAGGCUGCUCCAGGAGCCACCUGCUUGAGGUGCUCUACCAGUCAGCUGGUGCUCUGAUUUCUGCUGCCUGCCCUGCCUCCCAGAAUAGUUUUGCUAUUCUGCACCAGGCUUCCUGCCGUGGUGAGCACCAGCAUUUCAGGACACAGCCGUGCUGGCAAAGAAAUAGCCCCAUACUAGUACAAAGAGUAUCAGGCACGUGUGGAGCAUAGUCUGUAUCUUUCUGCGUGCACUCUCUCACUGCUGCGAUCACUUAAAAGACAAGGGGACACCGAGUCUCAGAAGCCUUUGUUAAUCAUCCACAGCUGACUGUUCACCAUAUAAAUAAAUGAUGAUUCGUCCUCA